UGGCGUACGGGUGAGUAACACGUGGAUCAUCUACCUUCUAGUGGGGAAUACCCCUGGGAAACUGGGGACAAUACCGCAUAAGCUCGAAAGAGGAAAGCAGCAAUGCGCUGGAAGAGGAGUCCGCGGCUGAUUAGCUAGUUGGCGGGGUAACGGCCCACCAAGGCGAAGAUCGGUAGCCGGCCUGAGAGGGCACACGGCCACACUGGCACUGAAACACGGGCCAG
rnacentral:rRNA from 1 species